AUUGAACGCUGGCGGCAGGCCUAACACAUGCAAGUCGAGCGGAUGAAGGGAGCUUGCUCCUGGAUUCAGCGGCGGACGGGUGAGUAAUGCCUAGGAAUCUGCCUGGUAGUGGGGGAUAACGUCCGGAAACGGGCGCUAAUACCGCAUACGUCCUGAGGGAGAAAGUGGGGGAUCUUCGGACCUCACGCUAUCAGAUGAGCCUAGGUCGGAUUAGCUAGUUGGUGGGGUAAAGGCCUACCAAGGCGACGAUCCGUAACUGGUCUGAGAGGAUGAUCAGUCACACUGGAACUGAGACACGGUCACGACUCCUACGGGAGGCAGCAGUGGGGAAUAUUGGACAAUGGGCGAAAGCCUGAUCCAGCCAUGCCGCGUGUGUGAAGAAGGUCUUCGGAUUGUAAAGCACUUUAAGUUGGGAGGAAGGGCAGUAAGUUAAUACCUUGCUGUUUUGACGUUACCAACAGAAUAAGCACCGGCUAACUUCGUG
rnacentral:rRNA from 1 species